GGCAGAUAAAGGAACUCACCCGGAGGAGCAAGUGAUGGUCAGCAGCAGCAGAGGAAAGGAAGACUGCUGAACAAGAGUAAAAAUAGACCCGGCAGUUACUCAGCUCCUGAGAACAUGAUGACAUGACUCAUGAGGAGUUUCUCAUGGCCGACACACAUGGUAGUCCAAGGUGAUGCAUGUAUGUGUCAGAAAUCAACACCUACUUAGAAGACACACUCCCUCUUGUGUGAGAAGAGGAAAGCCCCUUAUUUGAUGCUGCUUGCCCACCUUUGCCUUGUCAGAGAUAACACCAGACCUUAUACAGUUUACCUGUAUCCCAAGCUGCCAGCAACAGAAGAAAUAGCAAUGUGACACUUUCCGUUUCCUCAAACACACACGCUUUACUCUUUUCUAACCAGAGAACAGCAGGCGUUGAAAAAAUGAACUCACCCUAUGCGUGCUGCACCUCACCUCAGGUCCUCUUAUUUCUACCAUCACAGCCACCUGACUUAUCUUGAGUGGCUGUAACUCAAGGAGUGAUUCGGAAGAAGAGAA